AUUGAACGCUGGCGGCAGGCCUAACACAUGCAAGUCGAACGAGUGGCGUACGGGUGAUUAAGGUCCGGGACACUGCGCGAUGGAGGGCGAUGACUACUGGUAACGGUAACCACUACCGCAUUCCACGGGAUGUGCCCAGAUGGGAUUAGCUAGUAGGUGGGGUAACGGCGCACCUAGGCGACGAUCCGUAUCUGGUCUGAGAGGAUGCCCAGCCACACUGGGACUGAGACACGGUCCAGACUCCUACGGGAGGCAGCAGUGGGGAAUAUUGCACAAUGGGCGCAAGCCUGAUGCAGCCAUGCCGCGUGUAUGAAGAAGGCCGUCGGGUUGUAAAGUACUUUCAGCGAGGAGGCGUUACUCGCAGAAGAAGCACCGGCUAACUCCGUGCCAGCAGACGCGGUAAUUG
rnacentral:rRNA from 1 species